GCAAGUCGAGCGCGCCCUUCGGGUUUAGCGGCGGACGGGUGAGUAACGCGUGGGAAUAUGCCCUUCUCUACGGAAUAGCCUCGGGAAACUGAGAGUAAUACCGUAUACGCCCUACGGGGGAAAGAUUUAUCGGAGAAGGAUUAGCCCGCGUUGGAUUAGGUAGUUGGUGAGGUAAUGGCUCACCAAGCCUACGAUCCAUAGCUGGUUUGAGAGGAUGAUC
rnacentral:rRNA from 1 species